rnacentral:rRNA from 1 species
GCAAGUCGAACGAGAAAGUCACUUCGGUGGCGAGUAGAGUGGCGCACGGGUGAGUAACGCGUAGGUGACAUGCCUAGUAGUGGAGGACAACCUCGUGAAAACGGGGCUAAUACUGCAUAUUUUCGCUGAAAUUAAAAAAAAGCGAGCAAAGAGGGCCUCUUCUUGAAAGCUAUCGCUACUAGAUUGGCCUGCGGGACAUUAGCUUGUUGGUGGGGUAGCGGCCUACCAAGGCGACGAUGUCUAACUGGUCUGAGAGGAUGAUC